AUGUCUAGCUACCUUGUUGCGACUGGUUCAGCUGUAUUUAAUUUCGGCAAAGAAACACUAACUGAUGAGGCGAGUAACAACAACACACAAUAUAUGACAGAAAAUUUACGUUACCACAUCCAGUGUGGAAUUACGAGAGCAGAAAUAUUUUAAAAAGGAGUUAUUAGGGGUCAGUUGUGACCCCUCCUGCUGUUGCAGCCUAGACAUUAUGGAAACCGUAAAAAAUCAAGAGCCAAGAAUGUCUUCAAAAAAUGCUCGAUCAAGGUUUUCUUUGUACCUGUCAUCAAUGCUGUUGUAUGGGGUGUGCAUUGUUUACAGGCAGCAAGUCAUCAUUACAAUUGAUAACAUGAUGAAUUUGUUUCAUUUGACUAUAACAUGCAAUGGGACACACAGACAUCUGGAAGUUUCGGGUGAUGGUGAAGAAAAUGGUGCUGAUGGUGCAAAAAGAGGCCGUAAGAGGAAGAAACAGCAUCAGUUACAACCAGUAGAUGAAAAAUUUUUAGCAGAACUAACUGUUCCACUCAAAGCACCACCACAGGGAAUUGCCGUCUCUCCAAGAUUUUCCCCUAAUUCGCAUCCACCGACUGUUGCCAUGCCACCAGAUGUUAUGCAGACUCUAAAGGUUCCACAGAUGAUACUUGAUGACCAGGGUACAGAUGCACCUGUGGAACAGAUCUGUGAGCAGUUGACAAAAAUUUUUGCUGCGGAGGAGCUGCUUGUGAGUGAUUCUCAGAAGACUGAACAGCCACUGAUUGAGGAUAAGCAUGUAGAGGAUCAGGCUGCUGCACCUGUGCAUACUACUGAAACCCUGGCUGUUCAUGUAGCUGUGGCUGAGUCAGUGGCUUCAGCAGUACCCACCGAAAAAGCUGAAAGUGUUGAUGGUGUCCCUCAGGCGGAUAAAGAUGUGACUGCUGCUCCAGCUUUGCUAGAGCAAGCUUACAGGAGUUCUGAUGUGAAACCACCUUCACCUCCAAAAAUCCUUGAAUCUGUUGAAAAUAAAGAAGAUAAAAUACAUUCCAUUGAUGCAGAUGCUGGCUUUUCUCAUCAGACAGCCAUAAAUUUACCUGAUGCUGGAGAACCAGUCACUGAUCAUGCAGAAGCAAAAGGAAUAUCAUUGAUGACAGACAAUGACAAAACAAAAACUGAGCCAUCUGCAGCCAGAGCCAGCCGACGACGCGCUUCUCCAGAGCAACUACAAGAAAUUCCACAAAAAAGAAAACGGAGGAUAAAUAACUUGCUAGAGGAUGAAGAGGUGGAAAUAUCUAAGCACCUUUUGAGGAUACAAAUUGGAAAAGAUGAUAGUGAGCUACGAGCUUCGGAUAUAGAGAAAGAAAUUAAAUCUUACGUUAGCCAAAAAAAUACUAAAUUUUUAAUUGAAAAUCCUUGUUGCCUGGAUCUGCCAGAGAUCUGUCAGAUUUUAAUUACUAAAACAUUUCAAAUGGGUGGUGGACAGCUCCAUGAACAGCAGCGAAAGUCUAAUUUGGAAGAAAGUGUUGAGAUUCAGCGAGGGCAACGAACACCUACACCUCCUCAGUCACCUCUACAGUCACUCAGAGGAGAAGGUUCUUCUUUGUUGCGUAAUGAAGUCUCUGAUAUCACACCAAGACUACAACCAAUAAUUGAGACACAUUUUGAAGAACUGGAAGUUCCAACAAAAGCAGACAGUGUUAUCAACGUAGCACCUCUCACAGAAAUACCUGAGAUUGAUAUUUCUGAUGCUAGUGUAGGCAAAGAAAAGAGGGAUAGCAAUCUGGAAAAAGUGGUAACAGAAAUAGCACAACAAAGAGAAGCGGAACAUGGGGAUGUAGAAAUGAUGCAGCUUCCAGUAGUUGAAUCUUCUGUGACAAAUGUGAUUAGUACAGAAAUAAUACAAUCAGCUGUGUGUGAUUCAGAGUCAGACAGGAUGGAGGUGCCAACAGAUGCUGAGAAAAUUAGUAAGCCGUUGAAAGAAACCAUGAAUGUAUGGAGAAGGCUUAAAGACUUGCAGAGGUCAAUAAACAGAGCUGCUACAGUUUAUGAUCUUUGUCCACAACACUCAACAACAAAAUUCAGAGCUGCAUUUACCUUCAAAUGCUUACUGGGGAUAGAAAACAACAGGAAAACAAGUGGUGAAAUAAACAAAGAAGACAGAAACAGACACACUAAUGAGAAACUAAGUGGAGUGAAUUGAUCUUCCAGGUCAUAUCAGAUGAAAAUUAUUUUACUGCGUACUCAUAUGUGGACUGUAAUUGAGCCUUGUGAGACACAAUCUGGGGAAGAUGCAUGAGCUGCUGAUAAAAAGGACUUCAAGAACUGGACUUCCGAAAGAAGGUAGUCCUACAACAAGAUAGGAGCAUACCAUUUGGUCCAAUCUACAUAAGUCUACCAUGACAAUGGUAUCAGAGAGACUGAUAAGGAAGGUGCAGAGAGAACACUGUCAUCUUAUAUUAAAUAGCGACUACACUUGUUACUACCCAUGGAACUUGUAUUGAUACAGGUUCUCUUUUUAUCUGCAGUUUAUUUGAGUGCCAAAUAAAACAUGUUUAGUCUGCAGCUUUUAUAAACUUUGUGUUUUGAAUGUUGUUGUAUAUAUGUGCAUCUUUAAUAAAAUCGCAGUUUACAUCUUUUCCAUGAAGGAAAUUCUCAAAUCCUAU